GGUAAGAUGGCUGAAAAUAAGCAUUAGACUGUAAAUCUAAAGAUAAAGGUUACAUUCCUUUUCUUACCA
rnacentral:tRNA from 1 species